rnacentral:tRNA from 1 species
GUGGGUGUAGCUCAGUGGUAGAGUGCAUGCUUAGCAUGCAUGAGGUCCUGGGUUCAAUCUCCAGUACCUCCA